rnacentral:rRNA from 1 species
CAGCCGCCGCGGUAAUACCGGCGGCCCGAGUGGCGGUCACUCUUAUUUGGCUUAAAGCGUCCGUAGCCGGGUUGGGAAGUCCUCCGGGAAAUCUGGCCGCUUAACGGUCAGAAUGCCGGAGGAUACUCCCAGCCUAGGGAGCGGGAGAGGCCGAGGGUAUUCCCGGAGUAGGGGUGAAAUCCUAUAAUCCCGGGAGGACCACCUGUGGCGAAGGCGCUCGGCUGGAACGCGUCCGACGGUGAGGGACGAAGGCCAGGGGAGCAAACCGGAUUAGAUACCCGGGUAGUCCUGGCUGUAAACGAUGCGGACUUUGUGUCGGACAAGCUAUGAGCUUGUCCGGUGCCGGAGGGAAACCGUUAAGUCCGCCGCCUGGGGAGUACGGCCGCAAGGCUGAAACUUAAAGGAAUUGGCGGG